GUGGCGAACGGGUGAGUAACACGUGAGCAAUCUGCCCUUGACUCUGGGAUAACUGCGGGAAACUGUAGCUAACACCGGAUACUUUCCUCGCUGGGCAUCCAGCGGGGAAGAAAGAAUUUCGGUCAAGGAUGAGCUCGCGGCCUAUCAGCUAGUUGGUGAGGUAAUGGCUCACCAAGGCGACGACGGGUAGCCGGCCUGAGAGGGUGACCGGCCACACUGGAACUGAGACACGGUCCAGACUCCUACGGGAGGCAGCAGUGGGGAAUAUUGCACAAUGGGCGAAAGCCUGAUGCAGCAACGCCGCGUGAGGGAUGAAGGCCUUCGGGUUGUAAACCUCUUUUAGCAGGGAAGAAGCGAAAGUGACGGUACCUGCAGAAAAAGCACCGGCUAACUACGUGCCAGCAGCCGCGGUAAUACGUAGGGUGCAAGCGUUGUCCGGAAUUAUUGGGCGUAAAGAGCUCGUAGGCGGUUUGUCACGUCUGCUGUGAAAAUCCGAGGCUCAACCUCGGACUUGCAGUGGGUACGGGCAGGCUAGAGUGCGGUAGGGGAGAAGGGAAUUCCUGGUGUAGCGGUGGAAUGCGCAGAUAUCAGGAGGAACACCAAUGGCGAAGGCACUUCUCUGGGCCGUAACUGACGCUGAGGAGCGAAAGCGUGGGGAGCGAACAGGAUUAGAUACCCUGGUAGUCCAC
rnacentral:rRNA from 1 species